CGUAGCAAAAAGAGAGCGAGAGAGCACAUUCCAGGAGCAAUGACGACGGCAGCGCCACCGUUCCACGCCCCACGCCCUCCUCUGACGGCCCGCAGCGACCCGAACAGCACCGCCGUCUCGCGCGGCGGUACUGCUGCCGUGGCGGCAAUGCCAGAGACGCAGGUGCGCCGUCGGCUUGCAGAGGUAGAGACGCGGCUGCGUGACAUGGAAGAGGAGGCGAGGCGCACCCGCGUGCUGCAGGAGCAAGAGAUCGCAAAUCUCGAGCAUGACAACGUGAAGCUGCGCGAGCGGCUCGAGGCAAUCCGCAUGGAGGAGUGCAUGUCGCUGGCUGAAGCGCGUGCGCUUCAGGGCCACACCAGCUAUCAGCUCACCGGCGGUGCGCCGGCUUCUCAUGCAGAGUCGAAGCUUCUUGGGUCGACCACUAUCAAGUAUCAGAAUGCCAAGGCCGAAGUUCAAAGGCGGCGACGCGAGUGCGCCCAGGCAGAGCGCCAGCUCGCGGAGGCGCGGACCCGACUUGCUGAUGUGCGGAAAGCUCGCAAGGAACUGAAGGGACGGAGCCUCGCGGCAGAGAUGUCGGCUUCGAUGCGCGUCGCGGCGGCUGACAACUAUAGGACGCUCAUCCACGAGCGGCUCCGCGGCUUAGAAGAGCAGGUGGCACGUGAGCAGGAGCGCUUCAACAGUAUUGCGACGGAGGCGAAGCAAGCACGCAUCGAGAUUGACGCGCUGCUAGUGAGCCAGACGAGCAACGAAAAGAUGUACCGCCACUGGUACGAUGCGCUGUUGGCGAAGCGUCGCGAGAUGGCGUUCUUGAUGGAGGUGUGCAACCUCCUGUGCGAGGAGCGCCAGCAAGUCGUUGCCGAGCUCACGGAGGUUCAGGCGCGCAUGGCAGAGCAGAGUCAUCAGUACGAGGCUGCCUUCGACGAGCUGACGGGGGUGCAAGACGAGAACGCCAAGACGCAGGCUGCAAACUGCGAGCAGCUGGAAGAGCUGCGUCGACUCAUCGCGCAGACCCGGACAGAGCGGGAGGCGCUGGAGGAGGAGAACAGAUGCACCAAGACCGCCAUGGAGCGUCAACGUCGUCGCACCGUUGGCCACCGCCUCAAAGAGGAGGCGAACACCACGACCACCAGCGCGGCAAGCCGAGGCAGCAGCGCCAUUGAUGGGGAGUGUGGCAUCGUGGCCGCCGGUGAGGCCGAACGUGUCGGCGACGAUGGCGGUGCAGAGCUGCGGACUCCAGAGAGCGAGUCGUCGCUCGACGGCAACCAGCAGCAGAUCCGCAUGUUCGAUGACUACUACCGGAAGCUCUCCGCCAUUGUACAGAGCGACGCCAUCGAGGACGUGGCCGGGUUCAUGGAUGCAGCUGCCGACGAGCGGUACAAGGUCUUUGACGAGAUGAACGCCAUCGAGCGCAACAUGGUGGCGCUCGAGACGGAGAAGGCCGCGCUGGUGGCGCAGCUCAGUAGGGUUGGCGGUAUUCGCCCAGCCACCGUCCCGAAGUCGGCGCAGCAGCCGUUCACACCCACCGCGCUCGCAACGCUCGCUGGUGCUGACACGCUCGAGGACCUUACCGCGGUCACAACCGCCGUGGCAGCCGGGAAGAGCAGCGGCACGGGCGCACUUGGCGCGUCGACCGACGGCACGCAAGAGCGCUGUAAUCGCAUGGCAGACCUCCUCGACGAUUUGGGUGCUACGCGCGACCUUGUUUUUGAGCAGCAGGAGGAACAGGAGACGAGCGCGGCGGUGUUGGAGCAGGUGGUCGCGCAGGUGAAUCAAGUGUUUCGCGGACUCGGCUGCAGCGUGGACGAGCUUCGCGCCCUCACGGGGAUGGAAGGGGUACAGCAGACCACCCUGCUGCAGUGCCUCGCCAUGGUUGAGCAGCGCGCCAGUGAGUACCUGAUAGCGUACUCGCGUCGACAGCGGAAGCGAUCUUCGCAAGCGACGGGGGCGAGGGCGUCGCCCCCCUCCCGCGACGCAGCACGCACAAUCCUUCGUCGACCCGACUUGCUACCGAAGACACAGAAAAAUGCGGUGGAGGCCACCGUGAUGCAACAAGCGCUGCCUCGCUCGACGGACGUGACGACAAGGAUGCCCACCGUCGCCGCGCUUGCCAUCGGCGGCAGUUUGACCUUAGAUGACCUUGUCGAGGAACGUCCCUUGUCGACGACGGAGCUGAAGGAGGUGGUAGAGGCGAGGCGCAUCCUGGCACAGCCGUGAGCGCUUCCCCAUUCCCCACCUCUGCUUCCUCUACCUCCGCCGACCCGUGCUUGCGCUAGAGCUGAUGUAAAGACACUCAUUGCACCCACAUGCCCGUUGCUGCUGUGCCGUCUCGCUCCCUUUUCGCCGCGCGCCCGCCUCUCCACUCAUUUUGCUGGACAGCUGCCCUCGUUGGCGAUGUCAGACAUGCCGCAGAGAUCCAAAAGACAGCCCAACACGAGAAGAGGCAAGGUGAGCGGCUGCGCGUGUGCUUACUUGUGCCAGUCUCUCGGCGAGCGGCGCGUGGGCGGGAGGAAACGUGUGAAGUGGAUCACCGACACUGAUAGACACCACCCUUUCUUAGCAGACGCAGGCCUUGCUGUUUUGAUUUUUGCGCAUGUUACGCUGAUCGGCAGCACGCGAGCACACACGCACACACAUGCGCGUGCGACCAUGUGCACGACUGCCUCAGUCGCUUCACAUCUUCACCCACCCCUGCGAUCGACGUGGCUAUGCCUUUCUCCUUCCGACUCCGUUCCGUGCAACACCAGCCAUGCAGACCGCUGGAGCCGCUUCGCCCUUGGCUGGUAAGCGAAGGGGAUGUGGCAAGGAGAGAGGUUGGAGAGCUCGCGCGCCCGCGGGUGGAGUGGGGUGGGGGAGGGCGUUCGCGCACAGCACGCGCAUCGAAAGAUGAAACACGUUAAAGUCGCAGAAGCAGCCCAUCGCGGUGCUCGCAGCUGCCACGUGCGCAUGUAAUGCCACCGUAUCUCUCCACCACUCAUCUCCCUCCAACCUGUAUUUCCUUUGCAUGUGCCUCGUCGCCCACGUCGCGUGCGACAACCACCACCCUGUCCACGCCCGCCACACCCCAUCAUCGCUCCAAUGACCACCACCGCGCCAACGAUUUCGUAACCGGAACUGAACGGGGCUCACGGCGCCACAG
rnacentral:misc_RNA from 1 species